UCGACCUCAGAUCAGGUAGGAAUACCCGCUGAACUUAAGCAUAUCAAUAAGCGGAGGAAAAGAAACCAACAGGGAUUGCCUCAGUAGCGGCGAGUGAAGCGGCAAGAGCUCAGAUUUGAAAUCUCACCUAGUGUGCGAGUUGUAAAUUGCAGGUUGGAGUCUCGGGUUAGACGUGUGUGCAAGUCCCUUGGAACAGGGUGCCACUGAGGGUGAGAGCCCCGUAUCGUGCAUGUCGACACCUGUGAGGCCCUUCUGACGAGUCGAGUUGUUUGGGAAUGCAGCUCUAAGUGGGUGGUAAAUUCCAUCUAAGGCUAAAUAUUGGCGAGAGACCGAUAGCGAACAAGUACUGUGAAGGAAAGAUGAAAAGCACUUUGAAAAGAGAGUGAAACAGCACGUGAAAUUGUUGAAAGGGAAGGGUAUUGGGCUCGACAUGGGAUUUACGCAUCGUUGCCUCUCGUGGGCGGCGCUCUGGGUUUUUCCUGGGCCAGCAUCGGUUUUCGUUGCAGGAUAAGGACAAUUGGAAUGUGGCUCCUCGGAGUGUUAUAGCCUUUUGUAGAUGCUGCGUAUGGGGACCGAGGGCUGCGGCGGACUCG
rnacentral:rRNA from 1 species